rnacentral:lncRNA from 1 species
GCUUUAUACGACCGCAGAGGUUGAACCCUGAACGGUUGGGGCAAGUAUGGACACAACAUUCAAGCUGGAUUCAGCUCUAAAUUUGGAUUGUGAUUAAAUAGUUGACACAGCAUAGGUUUCUGACACAGAAUGAAUGUGGUCUAAUGAACUUAAAAUACUUUUUUUUCCUUUGAGCAAUUCACUAUGCUGUUGAAUAUCAAUCCUCUCAAAAAAAUGUUUGAAGAAAUUUUCUUUUUAUUUAUGAAAUCUGAAAUGAAAAAAGUUUAACCCCCCCCCCCCAUUUUUUUUCUCACAUCCCCCUUUCCCUUUGUUAUCACUGAAUAGUAAAGAUUGUUUUAAUUUAUCAGUUGGUAGUAAAAGUGAAUAUACAUUGUGUAUUGUAUAAAACAAUGAUUUAAGUUGAUUCAACUACUAUUCUGGACAAAGAAAGAUAACUCCAAUCAAUUGAAAAUUUCUUGCUAUUGCACAAUAUUGUGCAAUUAGAUAUUUCUUGCUAUUGC